AGUCGAGCGCGAAAGUGGGCUUCGGCCCGCGAGUAGAGCGGCGAACGGGUGAGUAACGCGUGGGUGAUCUACCUUCGAGUGGGGAAUAACACCGGGAAACUGGUGCUAAUACCGCAUGACAUUCUCGGUUCGUUCCGAGGAUCAAAGCCGGGGACCGCAAGGCCUGGCGCUUGAAGAGGAGCCCGCGUCCGAUUAGCUUGUUGGCGGGGUAAUGGCCCACCAAGGCUUCGAUCGGUAGCCGGCCUGAGAGGGCGGACGGCCACACUGGGACUGAGACACGGCCCAGACUCCUACGGGAGGCAGCAGUGGGGAAUUUUCCGCAAUGGGGGAAACCCUGACGGAGCAACGCCGCGUGGAGGAUGAAGGCCCUCGGGUCGUAAACUCCUGUCGAUCGGGAAGAAUGCACACGGACCAAUACUCCGGCGUGUUGACUGUACCGGUGGAGGAAGCCACGGCUAACUCUGUGCCAGCAGCCGCGGUAAGACAGAGGUGGCAAGCGUUGUUCGGAAUUACUGGGCGUAAAGGGCGCGCAGGCGGUUCGUCAAGUCCCGUGU
rnacentral:rRNA from 1 species